GCUCAGCGGUCUGGAACUUGCAGGAACAUGAGGAAUCCAUGAAUAAAUGUCUCCUGGCAGUCACCUGCUUGCUUAAACUCUUGACGGCUUCCCUCAGCAAUUAAAACAGCAUCCACCCCUGCCUUUUUAGGGCCCAGGAGGUCCUACUUGAUCUGGCUCUCACCUGUCUUUCCAAUCUCCCUUCAUUCUUCUCCAGUACGCUCCGGCUGCUGCACUGGCCUUAUCCUGUGCCUUGGACAUACUCAAGUUUAUCUUCACCUUAGAGCCCUUGAACUUGCUGCUCCUGCCCAUGACCAGCUUCUCAUUUUGGACACAGCUCCAGGGUCACCUCCUCAGAACGGCUUUUCCUCCCCAACUCCAGUUCUCUCUGUCACAUCACCAUUGAAUUGCCCUUAUGCUCCCUUUCAUGACUUUCCGCUCACUUCUCAACCCCUGCCUGUCUUCCCUUGCAAGAAGAAGAUCCCUCUGCAUAAUAUGGAAGAUGAACUGAAGGUGAACCAUGAUGGCAGCAGUAAAGAGUUUUUAGAUGAGCACACUGAUACUCAAGGAUGGCAUUCCCUAAUUUCUUGUCACCAUUCAACUAUGUUCUGGCCAAUGAGAUCCAACAAAGUGUUGUGUGGGAUUUCUAGAAAAAUCUAUAAGAAGGAGAAGUUUCGGCAGUGAAGCUCAGCCAGUCCCAGCACCCGGAAGGAACCUCCUCACCUCCAUCCCAGGCUCCUAGGGCAGUGCAGGUCAGCCGGUCCCAGCACCCAGAAGGAAGCUCCCUGCCUCCAUCCCAGGCUCCUAGGGCAGUGAAGCUCAGCCAGUCCCAGCACCAAGAAGGAAGCUCCCCUGCUGCCAUCCCAAGCUCCUAGGGCACAGAAGUUGAGCCGCAUGGGUGCCAGAGGCACCACCCCCCCACACAUGGAAAUGAGAAGACACAUAAACAAGCCUCAAAAACAGACUUCCAGAUCACCUACAGCAACCCCAAAGGGAAAUGAGAUGGAACACUCUGAUACUCAACCACCUGGACUCUCUGAACUGGCAACAAAAGAGGAUCUGGGAAAAAUGAAAUCAGAAAUAAUUACUCAGAUAACAGCAAAGAUUUUGCUCAUGGUACAAGACAUGAUUAAUAAAUCUAGGGAGGACACAGAUAAAAAAAUAGAGGAUCUGAGGAAUAUGAUGGAAUCCCAACAUAGGAAACAAAUGGAAUCCAUAAAACAGAUACAAAUAGAUUUCCAGGAGAUUAAAAACUCCAUCGAAAGUCUGUGCAGCAGAAUGAACCAAGGUGAGGAUAGAAUUUCACAUAUAGAAGAUAAGAUUGCAAUUAAUGACCAGGAAAAGAAAAAUUAUUUCAAAAUAAUAAGCGAACACGAGAAAUCAAUCCAGCAGCUGCUAGAUGAUGCAAAGAAGAAUAACAUAAGACUGAUUGGAGUCAAUGAAGAAAGAGGAGAGAGUGCAGAUGACAUAAAAAAACUGUUCACAGAAGUGGUGGCAGAAAACUUCCCAAGAAGGGGAAAAGAACUUGACAUACAGAUAAGUGAGGCAUAUAGGACUUCAAAUAGCCUUGAUCAAAAAAAAAUCUACAUAUAGGCAUAUAAUAGUUAGGAUUCCAGAAAUCCAACAGAAGAAUAAAAUUCUACAAGCAGUGAGAGAAAAGAACCAAAGCACAUACAAAGGAAAGCCCAUCAGAAUCACAGCAGACUUCUCAACGCAAACCCUCAAGGCAAGAAGAGCUUGGAGUGAUGUAUCUCAAGCCCUAAAGGAAAACAGCCUCCAACCCAGAUUGAUGUACCCUGCAAAACUAUCUUUCAAAAUUGAUGGAGAAAUAAGAUACUUUCAUGAUAAAGAGCACCUCAGGAACUUCAUGAAUACCAAACUGGCACUCCAAAAAAUUUUAGACAAUACCCUAGAAAAAGACAAUGAGGAUCACAACCCGAGGAAACCCAGCAGAAUGAAUCCAUUGGGGGUGACAAAUUAAACGCAAAGGGGGAGAAUCCAACAAAAAGAAAAAGUCAUGACAAGGCUUUUAAAACUUUUGACUUUCCCUAAUGAGUAUAUAAUUCAAUCUUAUUAUUGUACUGAUUAGUAUUUUUCUGAUUCUAGAGUUGCACACCAUUCCUUGUGCUAUGCUGGCUAUUUAUCAUCUUAUGUCUACAUUUUAAUUGGGUUGUCUAUUAAUGAGCUCUAAGAAUUCUUUAUAUAUUCUGCUCAUAGGUUAUAUGCAUUGUAAAUAUGGUCUGUUUAAGGACUUUGAAUUUUAAUGAUGUCAUUUAAAGUUCUAAAUUUAUGGAAUCUCAUCAAUUAUUUUUCUUUUAUACAUCAUGGUUUUUGUAUCCUAGGUAGUUCUUGCCUACCCUGAAUUCAUAAAUAUUUUCCCUUAUAAUUUCUUCUUAAAGUUUUACACUUUUAGGCUUUCUUAUUUAGGUUCAUAGAUCCCUUCAAGUUAUUUUCAUGUAUGGAAAAAAAGGGUUGAGGUUAAUUUUUUAUAUAUGGGUUCCAGGUGUUCUAGUGCCAUUUGCUGAAGACACUAUCUCUUCCUCGGCUCUUGAAUUGAGUUUAUAUUCUAUAAAAUGCUAACAUUAAAUAAUCUUUCAAAACUCAGUGGACCAUAUAUGUGUGGUUCUAUUUCUAGAUUCUCUGUUUUAUUCAAAUGAUCUAUAUGUCUUUCCUUACACCAACACUGCCUUGAUUACUGUAGCUUUAGAAGAAGUCUUAAAAUUGGGUGCUAAACGUCUCCCAACACUGUUUUUGUUUUUGUUUUUGUUUUUGUCUUUGGCUUUUCUGGGUCCUUUGUACUCUUACAUAACUUUAAAAUUUCAAUAUCCAGUUCUUCAUUUAUAGCAAGUAUACACAGACCUCAAUUUUUAUAUAUACCUUGUGUUUUCUAAUCCUGCUAAAUUCAAGUACAAGUUCUAGGGGGCCCUAGAGAUUUCUUAAUAUUUUCUCUGUAGAUGAUCAUUUCAUCUACAUAUAAAGAUUUUGCUUCUGCCGUGCCAAUCCUAUCCUAGUUGUGUCAUUUUAUUGCCAGACUAUUUUGGUUUAGACCUAUGUUUCAAAGUCUAAUGGACAGAUUGUAAGACCGAGGGCCUUACCAAACACUCUGAGGAGCUGACUACAAUGAAGAACACCCGGGAGGGAACACACAAGACAAGUUGGAAAGUAAAACAGACCUUUAUUAAUCUGGCCAGACGGCACCCUCCAAGCAAACAAGCUUAGAGAGGCAACUGGCUCAGAGUCCGAGGCUCUUUUAUAGGGGUUGCAAGGGGAAGUUAGCAAGCAGAGAUGACAAAGGCGAGAUGCUGAUGGUUAGGGGAUUUAGAUAGCAUGUUCCAGUACAUUUAGAUAGUAGAUAGCAUGUUCCAGUACAUUUCCUGUUUAUGGGGAGUUGGGUAAUUUCAAAGAACACUGUGCAUUCCGUAAACCUUUGUUUUUCUUCCCAGAAAUGACAUCACAUGUUUUACUCAGAAGGGGAGGGGGAGUAUUGAGUGAGGCAACAUGGAGUAACCUUUGUUCAAUCUCAUAUAGUCCCACAAGAUGAAGAGUGGGCAUAUAUGCCCUUGUUCCCCACUUUAGGGAGAGAACAUUGUAUCAUCUCUAUUCAUAGAAGGAGUUUUUGUUGGAAGUAUGGAGUACAUGUCUUUGAUCUGUUGAGAAGGUUCUGUUCUACUUCUAGUCUCCUGAUAGCUUUUACUAUGAACAGCUGUAGAAUUUAGUCCAAUACUCUUUCUCGAACUAGUGACAGGAUCAUAUGGCUUUUUCCUUUCCUCUGUUAAAAUGAUGACUUUUGGGGGUGGAUCUUCCAAUGCUGAACCAACACUGCCAUCCCUAUAACAAAACCACUUUCUACAUACUGCCAGAUCUGACUUUUAAGAGUUUGUUUUGUUGAACAAAUUUCUAUGUUCAUACUUUUUUCUUCUAUUAUCUUUAUCCAGUUUUAGAAUUAGCACAGUGUUGAUUUCCUAAAAUGAGGGGAGAAGUGUUCCUUCUUUUUUCUGCUUUAAUUGUUUGAUAUAAUUUAUCAGUUAAAAUAUUUAUGAGCCUACUGUUGUCAUAUAGGUAGGUUUUCAAGCUAGAAAUAUACUUUCUUUAGUAGGUGCUAUUCAAAUUUUAUAUUUCCUCCAGAGUUUCCUUAAUUUGUCUUCUAAGUUACUUCUUAGAAGUUGUCAAAUUUAUUUCAAAACAGAUUUUUGUAAUAUGCUUUCUAUAUCCUUUUAAAUUCUGUAAAAUCUGUGGUAACGUCCCUAGAUCUUAAUAUUGUAAUUUAAAAAAUGUAUAACUGAUAUUGUGCAACAGGAAGAAAAGGUCUAAAAGAGCAGGGGAAUUGGGAGGGGUAGGGGAAGGGAAUAAAGGGAAAGGAAAAAAUAUGAGAAGAGGAAAAAAUGGAAACAAGGUCUUUGCAAAUAGGGAAGGGUGGAGGGGGUGAAGGGGGGGCAAAGGAAGGGGAAAAAAAUAAGAACCAAGAGACUCAUGUAAUGGUACAAGAUCCCAAUGAUGAAUGUAACUGUAUUGUAUACCUAAAAUGUACCAAUAAAGUUAAUGGGGGGAAAAAAGGAAGGAGAAGUUUCACCCCUCCUCUUGUACCUCUUCUAUCCUGCUGUUAGGAAAGUAGCCAAGGUAGUUAAAAUGGUGGCAGCCAUCUUGGACAUGAAGAAGCAGGACUUGUCCUAGGGAUGGUUGGGAAUAGCACUAGAAGGUGUGUAUCCCUGGGGACAUCAGAGUCAACUUAUGAACUUUGGACUAUCUACCCUGGGAUAUAUAUAUUUAUAUAUAUAUAUCAAUGAAUUAAGCUGUUGUCUUAUUUACUUUUGUUUGGGAAAAUGGAAGGAGGGAUGCUAUUAUUCACAGCUGAAACUAAUUUUGCCUGAAAAAUGUCAAUCUAUGUAUGACUCAUCAAUCUUAAAGACAAGUUUGAACUUCUUUCAUAAGGAAGAGACAAAAUAUAUUGCCUGACGUGAUUAUUUGGAAAUUUAUUGAUGAUUUUGUGAUAAAUCCCUAUCAUUCCUGAAUUUUGGUCUCUGGCAAACAAUAUGACUUUGAUAUAAAACAAAAGGCUGGGUCAUUUCAGCCAGAACAGAGUAGCUUGGACUUUUGUGUCUCUUGCUCUUGGGAGCUGCUCUGCUAGAGUAGCCCAAUCAUUCAUCACGGGUCCACUGAGAGUCCAGAGGCAGAGGAGCAGGUGAAGGCACAUGGGGCUGUCAUUUUAUGUGCUGCACUGAGGAAAUUUAGCUAAACAGCAUUUGUACCUGUAUUUGGAAACUGAUGAGGUGAGUCAAAGUACUCCAGCCAUGUUGAUUGAACAGUGUGUUUUCAUGUUAAUGGAAUAGACAGUUCCUCUGGGAAAGCACCACUCUACCAUGUGGUUCUCAGAAUAGAUGAGGCAGCACUGUACUCUUCAUCCACCCAAUCAGCAAGCUUUUAUGGAACCACUAUUAUAUACAUGAUACACCUAAAGCCACUGGACCACCUUUGCUCAUGAGAUUCCACUGGUUAGGGUGACAUCUUUAAUUUUCUCCUCAUUGAAGGUGAAUGUUUCUCAAAGGCCUGGGUUAAUACAAGAAGACUUCGCUGACCACAGUCCUUGGCAAUGGCUCCCUGCACCAAGUUCUAUAGCACUGUGCACUCAUCUGACUAAGUGGGCAUGUAGUGAAUGCUGUAUUAAUUCUGCUUUGGUGGGAAUGUCUCAAAUUCAGAGACACACAGUUGGAGCUUAAUAGAUGCUGUGGAUGGCACUGUAUUCAUUUAGCAUGUCAUUUCUUUUAGUCAACAUUAAUCAGGCAUCUCCUGCGUGCUUUAGAGUGCAUUAAGCACCAAUGAGAAGAAAAGAUGAGUAAGACUUGGACUCGUGGACCAUCUGGACAAACUGAUCAUUGUUGUCCUGCAUUACAUGUGCUAGAAAACAGCUUGGAGAAAGUUCUAGAGAAAAGACUACUGAUUAAUUCUUGGAAAACUAAAUCAGACUUUCCAAAAGCAAUAGGGUCUCACUUCCUCUCAGAGAAGGAGAAAGGCCAGGGGGUUGGGGGGUCAUUCACAUACAGUCCAUCAGCGGCCCUCCACACCUCUUGCAAAGUAGGCAGGGCAGUUACUAUCUCUCCACUCUACAGAUAAAUAAACCAGGAACAAACAGGGCCUUUCCUUGCCAUAAGGAGAAGGGAAAUAGUUCUAGAACUCCACAAUCUGGCUCUUAAUCUGGUUCUCUUGUUACCAUACCUCCCACCUCCCUUAAUAUCAUUGAUGACCACUGCUUUUUGCCUGGAGGAGAUCAGGUGUUUCUUAUUUUCUGUUAAAAUGAGUCAAGCAGCACAAUUUAUUUAAUUUAUUACAUUUCCCCUUCCAUUUUUCAUAAUUUUCAUUUAUGAGUCCAACGUUCUCAGUAAUUCCCCUUCCAGGAAUCUUCCCUAAGGAAAUAAUCAAAGACAAACAUAGAUUUAUGUACAAAAACUUUCAUUGCAGAAUUAUGUAUAGCAGAAAAUAGGAAACAACCUAAAUGUCCCACAAAAACAGACUAAUGGGCAGACUCUAACAUCUUUCCAUACAAUUUUAAUGGCAUUUUAAAAAUGCUUACAAUUAAUCUUAUUUUUUUAAAAAAGACAAAGUAAAAGCACAUGAUCCAAAUUUUGUGGAGUCUGCCUGUCUGUGUAUGUAUAGAAAAAAAGGAUACUCAGCAAAAUAUUUACAGUGCCAACUUUGCACCAUUUGUUUGUAUUUUCUACAAUAUGCAUUUUAUCAUUAGAAAAGAACAAUAAAAUUGUUUAAUAACAUGUAAAAGUCCUAAGGAGAACAAUAUUAACAGAGACUGUAUUCCUGUAAUGGGGUUCUCCAGAGAAGCAAAAUUUUUUAUAUAUGAGUGUGUAUGAGUGAGUGUGUGCGUGGGCACAUGCAUGCACAUGUGUAUGUACAAGUGCAGAUACUUAACUUACGAGGAGCUUACAUCCUGACAAACCUGAAAAUAUCAUGACUUGGAAAUGAAUUUAAUAUGUACCCCUGACCCACAGAACAUCACAGCUUACCCUAGGUGUGUUAAACACGUGCAAGACAUUUCAUUAGCCUCUAGUUGGGCAAAAUCAUCUAACACUGUACUGACAGUGAAGAACAGAAUGACCUUAUGCUUUCAGACCCUCAUAAAGUCAAAAAUUAUAUAUAUCUACAAUAUCUAAAUAUAAUAUAUCCUCAAUAUUUUGGGGGAUUGGUUCCAGGGCCCUCUGUGGAUAGGAAAAUCCACAGAUGCUCAGGUUUCUUCUAUAAACAGUGUAGUGUUUGUCUAUAAUCUGUGCACAUCCUCUCACACACUUCAUCUCUAGAUUGCUGAGAAUUAUUUAGGCAUUACAUCUAAUACUAUGAAAAUAGUUCUUAUACUGUACUGUUUAGGGAAUAAUGACAUUAAAAUGAUGUCCUUACAUUUUUAAUAUAGAUAGAAUUUUUUCCUGAGUAUUUUUGACUUGUGGUUGGGUGAGUCCAUGGAUGCAGAACCCACAGAUAUGGAGGGUUGGAAGGUCAGUGUUUUUCAGUGAAGCUCUUCAACUUAUUGGAUGAGGUUCACCCACAUUAUGGAGUGGAGUCUCGUUUUUCCUUUUCUCAGAGUCUACUGAUUUAAAUGCCAAUCUCAUCUUUUAAGAUACCAUCACAAAAACAGCUGCUUCUUUUAUCCUGGCAGUUGUGGGGCAGCAUGGAGGGAAGCAGAUGAGCCCUGGAUCAUGACCCAGGAAACCCCAACCCUGCCAGACUCUUGGGCACAGGGUUCUUAUCUCUAACUGAAAGACUUAGUCCCAGUGAUCUAUAAAACAUUAAUAAGUUGUGUUUCAGUGGUCUCUUUUUAAGGUCAUGAGAUGGGCCAUCCUUCCUUUUGUAGCCAUCAUCCUUUCCCAAGGAGACUGAUGGUUACUCUUUGAGCAGGAAUGAGACACAGAGAGACUCAGGAGGAAGGUGAGCAGUUCUGAAUUGCAGCUCAGAAUGAAGGAUGGAAAGGCAAAGGCUGCAGUGAAUAGGAACCUUGGGCCCAGGGAGGUCCCUCCCAAAUGCCCCUCACAUCUCCAUGCUCUUGACAGAUGCAACCUGGAUCUUGCCACAGGAUCACCCCAGCUGGCACCAAAGGGCUAGAGUUGAGUGAUGAGUAAGCUGUAUCCCCCCAUCUCUUCCUAGGUGGCCCCUCCAGGGUGCUAUGCAGCAACACAAGCUGUGCAGGACUACAGCUCAGCCAUGUGUUAAGGAGGCUCAGGGAGCAUGGGGUGACCUACAAGAUGUGGUGAGGAAGGUAUUGGGCAGCAUCUCUAUGUUACCAUGUCACACUGUGGAAACAGCAAGCAGAGGGGAUGCUUAAUACCACCAUUAGAACUGCAACAACAAUUGCAUGGAGAGAGUAUACUAUCUUGCAUGAGGAUUUAAGAUACCAAGAAACCACUUAUCAAAUUUAAAUUAACCUAACAGAUCUUUAAAAGUGACUUUUUCCAGGUGAACUAAAAAUAAUGAGUCUUGAUCAAUGCAUACACUAUGGAAAUGGAAACUGUGGACCUCAUAUUCACCAGCCCCAGCCUAGCAAUACUUGAUAUCAUACUGCUGAAAAGGCUGAAGCACUAAGGCGACAGGUUUCUGUCCUCUACCAGUCUUGGAGCUCUCCUGGCUGCUUCCCUGCAAGCUUGUGAAGACAGCCACCCAGAAUCAUGGGCACAACACUCCACUGGAAGCCUGCCACUGGCCACUCUUCACCUUCAGCUGUGUCCCCUUCAAGGCUGAAGGUAUUUUUGCUCCCUGGGAAAGCUGUGUUUAUCUCCUAAGACAUUCUGUGAAAGCCUACACCUGUACCCAUGCCACCCCAACUGAGGAGACAAUGAACAUACUUGUGUCUGAGGCAAAGUCCAGUGACCACAAGACUCCAUGGAGAAGGGGUCACCAUUAGGAACCGUCCAUGGUCCUUGAGUUCCUUGGAACCACCUCCUCUGAUUAUGCUGAGAGGGAAGAAAUUCAUGGAACAUGCCUCCUGCAUGUGUAUUUUUAUUGGAAACACAUUCUUUCUUCUCCUAUUGCAGCACUUCCAGGACCCAACACAAGCAUGGACCCAACAGCACUUCCAGGACCCAGUGGCAGCAUGGGUAGCAUGAUGCACCACAGAAGGCACUGAGCACAUGGAGACACCUGUCUGCAGAUUCAGGAAACAAAAACACAGCACCUGCAGGAGCAGCUUCAUGGAUCCAAGUGAACCAGCAUGCCGUGUCAGGUGUCCUCAGAGGGACCUCAUAUAGUUGGAGCAAGUUGUGCAAAUUUGUCACUGGUGUGUGCUUCUACAACAUGGGCAAGAGCUGCUGGUCUCUCCCCAGAGGGCAACACAAGCAUGCAUGCAGCAGCAGACAUGACAGCAAGUGUGUUACCGAAGCAGUGAAUGGUUCCACAGCAGGACACCUUGUCCUAGAAUGAAGGCCACAUAAGUGAAUAGGACAUAGAAGUAAGAGACUCUCCCAACCUAAGGCAAGGGAGCGAGACAAUGGAAAAGGACAGAACUCUCAUAAGAUAAGCAGGGAGGAAAAGACAACAUUAAGAUCAUUCAUCUUCUGGUCCUUAGCCAUGGGACCACUUGGGGUAGGAAAAAAAGGAAAGAGUCAAGCAGCUCAGGGGAGCUCUGGGAGGACACAGCUCCUCCCCCUAUAGGAACACCAGCCUCAUCUUUGCUGCAAAGGCCUCAGAUACCAUGAGUUCAGAGUCUUCAAGCAGAAAUGAAAGUGAACUUCAGAGCUCACUUUACUGCACAAGGUAGAUAGAUGGAAUCAUAGCCCAGGUGGUAGAGGACAUCAGCAGGGAGGCCACCUCUCAGUUAGCAGAAUGCAGCAGUGGCUGGGGAUCACUGAGGCCAUAUCUGAGAUAAAAGAGACAGUAACUCUGAAGCCCACCCAACAAGGAGUAAGAGAAAGGAGAAUAAGAUGCUUCCAGUUUAGCCAGCUCUAGGCUUACAUUUUAUUAAAUAAAUAAAAAUGAAAUAAAAGAUUUUGUAAGAAUGAAAAAAUAAAUAAAACUGUACAACACUAAAGAACGAAAGAAGGAUGAAAAAACAAGGAGAUUUAUUUUAGGAAACUGGCCAUCCAUACACACAAGCACUUACAGUGUCUUUCAGGGCAUGAAAAGAAAGACCCGAACACUGACGGCAAACGUGCCUUUGCCAAGGCCCCUGGAAGAGGCUCUUGACUUAUGGAUUUGAAUUCAUUUCUCAGUUCAGAGAAACUUGCUUUUCUUUUCUUCUCAGCGUAUUUACAGAGGAGGACUCUAGGACUACUGUGGCCAUUCAACAAACACAAAAAUGACAUGAGAUUAAAUGACUAACCCUUUAAAAUCAAUAAGAGCUUCCUGGGACCUAGCUCUGAGAAAGGUAAAUAUUAGCAGUCGAUCCAUUCUGUGCAUUACAGGGCAAUAAAAUGGCAAAAAAAGAGAGCAAAAAUAGAUUCUGGGAGGCAGACAAGAAUCCAGAAGCACUGAGAAAGUGGAGCUGGAGCCAAGAGGCCACAUGUUGUUAGUGAAACCACCCCUCGUAUCUCAGCGAGGGCACAGCUUGCUUCACUGUGAUGCGCCACCCUGGCCUUUGGAAGUUGCUGAUCCUUCCUGAGAAGGGUGGAGUUAAUCCAGUGAGCCUCAUUCUCUUUCCGGCUUUGCUAAGAUCACUGAAACCAAGAGGGAAUAAAUAUGGACACUGGCUUGGCAGCCAGUGAGGUGGGCAGAGUAUUCUCCUUAGCUACUGGGUUUCUAACACUUUCUUAAGGUAGAAUCCUCCAAAACUACAUAUCCCAGCUAUUUUCUUUACACCUAAAGCAUGGGGAUGUAACCAGGGCCAGCCACACAAUUUACAAGGCCCAGUAGUAACUGAAAAUCUGGUGUUUCACCCAGGCCCAGAGACAUAUGCCUGUAGUCCCAACUAUUCAGAAGGCUGACGCAAGAGAAUAGUGAAUUGGAGCCCAUCCUAAGUAACAGAGCCAGACCUUGUCUCAAAAAACAGGGCGGUCUCAUUCAUAAAGUAGAAGGGGACUCUGCUUGACUGAGGAGACGUGAAGGGGCCGGGUUUGACCCUUGUUGAACUUUCACCCGAGCACAUGAGUUUCUUUUUCCGGGACAAGAUGGCCCCGUCCACGCCGCCCUUGACAGUCCGAGGAUCAGAAGGACUGUAUAUGGUGAAUGGCCACCACACUUUACAGAAAGCACAGUACUUUCAAGCUUUCUCCACUGAAGAAACCUGGAAACAGUGACGACCCAGUAGCUGUGAAUAUGCCUGCAUCACAAGUUGUGAGCUCUCAAUACAAUCCCAUUCCUCAAUAAAAUGAACCUUAUUUACCAGCGUUGGUGGUCCAUGGAGUAUUUUCUUGUUACUUUGAAAAAAGAAUUCAAGUUAGUAAAUGCAGAAGAGGAAUAAUGGUAUUAGUUACCAUUUUGUAAUCUUAAAGAAAUCAUGACUUUGGGCCAGUGGUUCUCAAGGUUUAGUAUGCAUCAGAAUAAGAGAAAUACAAAUUAAAACUAUACUAAGGUACUAUCUUGCCCCAGAAAGAAUGGCUAUCAUCAAAAAACCUACUAAUAACAAAUGCUGAUGGGGAUGAGGGGGAAAGGAAACUUUUCUACAUUGUUGGUGGUAAUGUAAACUAGUGCAACCACUAUGGAAAUGUAUGUGGAGAAUGCUCAGAAAACUAAAACUAGAAAUUCCAUUUGACCCAGAUAUCGUUCCAGGUGUUUUCCAAAAGAUAUAUUACAGGGAUGUAUGCAUACCCAUGCAGCACAAUUUAUAAUAGCUGGAUCUUGGAAAUAGUAAAUAUGUCCAUCAACAGAUGAAUGAAUAAGGAAAAUGUGGUAUUUAUACAAAAUGGAGUACCACACUGCUGUGAAAGAUAAACUUGAAGCAUUUGUGAGUAAAUGGAUACAACUUGAAAACAUAAUGUUAAGGGCAGUAAGUCACACAUAAGCACAAAUAUCGCGUGGUCUUUCUUAUAUGAGAAACACUGUAUACACAUACACAUACAAAUGAGCCAAAUAGAAGAGAGAUAAAUAGGAAAUAGGGAGAAGUUCAAAUACUUCCCCAAAUUACAUAUUUUGUUCUUUCAAAAAAAUUAAUACAUACACUACUUUGUUUUAUUUAUACUAUAAGUUUGUCUUAGUUUAUUGAAAAGAAAGUUUUGUUAUUAGUUUCUUUUUUGUAAGAAUCUUUUUGGUUUAUAUCUUAUAUUCUAAGUGACUACUUUGAAGAUAACAAUACACAGAGUAUUAACUAUUGUUAUGAAAUUUUGAGGGGCAGGAUAUAUUAUGUACAGGUGCAAAGUCCGUAUGAUGAGUGUUAACCAUUAUGUAUAUCUAAAAUGUACCAAUAAAUAUUUUGCUUUAAAAAAUAAAUAAACAAAAAGUAGAAGGGAAUGAAUACUUAAAGACAUGAAAAGAUAAUCCAUUUUUAUUUAGAAAAUUUUAUUACUCACAAAAUGAACUAUGAGGUAAUAGUGAUAUAGUAACAACAGAUUUAUAAAUUAUAAAAAAGUGUC
rnacentral:lncRNA from 1 species